rnacentral:rRNA from 1 species
UACGUAGGGUCCGAGCGUUGUCCGGAAUUAUUGGGCGUAAAGAGCUCGUAGGCGGUUUGUCGCGUCUGCUGUGAAAUCCCGAGGCUCAACCUCGGGCCUGCAGUGGGUACGGGCAGACUGGAGUGCGGUAGGGGAGAAUGGAAUUCCUGGUGUAGCGGUGGAAUGCGCAGAUAUCAGGAGGAACACCGGUGGCGAAGGCGGUUCUCUGGGCAUUACCUGACGCUGAGGAGCGAAAGUGUGGGGAGCGAACAGG